rnacentral:rRNA from 1 species
UACGAAGGGUGCAAGCGUUGAUCGGAAUUACUGGGCGUAAAGGGUGCGUAGGCGGUUCGUUAAGUCUGUCGUGAAAUCCCCGGGCUCAACCUGGGAAUGGCGAUGGAUACUGGCGAGCUAGAGUGUGUCAGAGGAUGGUGGAAUUCCCGGUGUAGCGGUGAAAUGUGUAGAGAUCGGGAGGAACACCGGUGGCGAAGGCGGGUCUCUGGGCAUUUCCUGACGCUGAGGCGCGAAAGCGUGGGGAGCAAACGGG